rnacentral:rRNA from 1 species
UACGAAGGGUGCGAGCGUUAUUCGGAUUUAUUGGGCGUAAAGGGUGUGUAGGCGGUAUGCUAAGUCAACUAUUAAAUUUCUCGGCCUAACCGGGAGUCAGUGGUAGAUACUGGUGUACUUGAGGAUGGAAGAGAGAAGUGGAAUUCUCGGAGUAGCGGUAAAAUGCGUAGAUCUCGAGAGGAACACCGAUGGCGAAGGCAGCUUCUUGGUCCAUUUCUGACGCUGAGGCACGAAAGCGUGGGGAGCAAAC